UAGGAUUCCCUUAGUAACGGCGAGUGACCGGGAUGAGCUCAAAUUUAAAAUCUGGCGUCUUUCAGGCGUCNGAGUUGUAAUCUAUAGAGGCGUUUUCCGCGCNCGGACCGCGUCCAAGUCUCUUGGAAUAGAGUAUCAAAGAGGGUGACAAUCCCGUACUUGACGCGACAACCGGUGCUCUGUGAUACGUUCUCAAUGAGUCGAGUUGUUUGGGAAUGCAGCUCUAAAUGGGUGGUAAAUUCCAUCUAAGGCUAAAUAUUGGCGAGAGACCGAUAGCGAACAAGUACCGUGAGGGAAAGAUGAAAAGCACUUUGGAAAGAGAGUUAAACAGCACGUGAAAUUGUUAAAAGGGAAACGAUUGAAGUCAGUCGUGUGAAAGGUAUUCAGCCGUCUCUGGCGGUGUAUUUGCCUUUCACGGGUCAACAUCAGUUUGAUCCGGUAGAAAAAGGCGGGAGGAAGGUGGCACCCUCGGGUGUGUUAUAGCCUCCUGUCAUAUGUGCCGGACCAGACUGAGGAACGCAGCUUGCCGCAAGGCCGGGGUUCGCCCACGUACAAGCUUAGGAUGUUGACAUAAUGGCUUUAAACGACCCG
rnacentral:rRNA from 1 species